CUGUUUCGCCACUGUCGGUUUCAGAGCGCUUAACGGCCGUAAAAGCCUUCUAGCGCAGAAGUUUGCGUCGCCUUUUUAUGCCAUUACUGCUCUGGAUGCGAAGGCAAGUCCAAUACAAAAUUAGUGUAUGGAUACACUCUGCACCCGGAACAGCCUCUCAUAGCUACCGGACGUGGCUGUACCGGUCAUCCGGAUUGCAGGACUGUCAGCGUCAUCGGACAUCGGCGGGAACCACGGUUUCCAUUUAUUGUCAAUCAGAUGCCAGGCCGGACGAUGAGCUCACCCUCGCCGGCAUCUUCUAAAAUCGCCCGGAAGCGGUUAAUUAUUUUUUAGUUUUGUUUUUUCUCAAACUGACUGCUUUAUGCUCCUACCAGAAAAUAUACUGAAUUUUCUUGUAUGCUCAUGAAGCGGUCAGUUUGAGCUUGUGGAUUGUGGAUUUUCACAUGCAAAACUUCUUCUUCGUUCUUGCUUGUAGAUUGAGACACGCUUACAUACUGAACUAAGACAUGUAAACCCGACGCCGCAUCGG